AUCUCCUAAGGCUAAAUACUCUCUAGUGACCGAUAGUGAACCAGUACCGUGAGGGAAAGGUGAAAAGCACCCCGGAAGGGGAGUGAAAUAGAACCUGAAACCGUGUGCUUACAAGUAGUCAGAGCCCGUUAAUGGGUGAUGGCGUGCCUUUUGUAGAAUGAACCGGCGAGUUACGAUUUGAUGCAAGGUUAAGCAGUAAAUGUGGAGCCGUAGCGAAAGCGAGUCUGAAUAGGGCGUUUAGUAUUUGGUCGUAGACCCGAAACCAGGUGAUCUACCCUUGGUCAGGUUGAAGUUCAGGUAACACUGAAUGGAGGACCGAACCGACUUACGUUGAAAAGUGAGCGGAUGAACUGAGGGUAGCGGAGAAAUUCCAAUCGAACCUGGAGAUAGCUGGUUCUCUCCGAAAUAGCUUUAGGGCUAGCCUCAAGUGAUGAUUAUUGGAGGUAGAGCACUGUUUGGACGAGGGGCCCCUCUCGGGUUACCGAAUUCAGACAAACUCCGAAUGCCAAUUAAUUUAACUUGGGAGUCAGAACAUGGGUGAUAAGGUCCGUGUUCGAAAGGGAAACAGCCCAGACCACCAGCUAAGGUCCCAAAAUAUAUGUUAAGUGGAAAAGGAUGUGGCGUUGCCCAGACAACUAGGAUGUUGGCUUAGAAGCAGCCAUCAUUUAAAGAGUGCGUAAUAGCUCACUAGUCGAGUGACACUGCGCCGAAAAUGUACCGGGGCUAAACAUAUUACCGAAGCUGUGGAUUGUCCUUUGGACAAUGGUAGGAGAGCGUUCUAAGGGCGUUGAAGCAUGAUCGUAAGGACAUGUGGAGCGCUUAGAAGUGAGAAUGCCGGUGUGAGUAGCGAAAGACGGGUGAGAAUCCCGUCCACCGAUUGACUAAGGUUUCCAGAGGAAGGCUCGUCCGCUCUGGGUUAGUCGGGUCCUAAGCUGAGGCCGACAGGCGUAGGCGAUGGAUAACAGGUUGAUAUUCCUGUACCACCUAUAAUCGUUUUAAUCGAUGGGGGGACGCAGUAGGAUAGGCGAAGCGUGCGAUUGGAUUGCACGUCUAAGCAGUAAGGCUGAGUAUUAGGCAAAUCCGGUACUCAUUAAGGCUGAGCUGUGAUGGGGAGAAGACAUUGUGUCUUCGAGUCGUUGAUUUCACACUGCCGAGAAAAGCCUCUAGAUAGAAAAUAGGUGCCCGUACCGCAAACCGACACAGGUAGUCAAGAUGAGAAUUCUAAGGUGAGCGAGCGAACUCUCGUUAAGGAACUCGGCAAAAUGACCCCGUAACUUCGGGAGAAGGGGUGCUCUUUAGGGUUAACGCCCAGAAGAGCCGCAGUGAAUAGGCCCAAGCGACUGUUUAUCAAAAACACAGGUCUCUGCUAAACCGUAAGGUGAUGUAUAGGGGCUGACGCCUGCCCGGUGCUGGAAGGUUAAGAGGAGUGGUUAGCUUCUGCGAAGCUACGAAUCGAAGCCCCAGUAAACGGCGGCCGUAACUAUAACGGUCCUAAGGUAGCGAAAUUCCUUGUCGGGUAAGUUCCGACCCGCACGAAAGGCGUAACGAUUUGGGCACUGUCUCAACGAGAGACUCGGUGAAAUCAUAGUACCUGUGAAGAUGCAGGUUACCCGCGACAGGACGGAAAGACCCCGUGGAGCUUUACUGUAGCCUGAUAUUGAAAUUCGGCACAGCUUGUACAGGAUAGGUAGGAGCCUUUGAAACGUGAGCGCUAGCUUACGUGGAGGCGCUGGUGGGAUACUACCCUAGCUGUGUUGGCUUUCUAACCCGCACCACUUAUCGUGGUGGGAGACAGUGUCAGGCGGGCAGUUUGACUGGGGCGGUCGCCUCCUAAAAGGUAACGGAGGCGCUCAAAGGUUCCCUCAGAAUGGUUGGAAAUCAUUCAUAGAGUGUAAAGGCAUAAGGGAGCUUGACUGCGAGACCUACAAGUCGAGCAGGGUCGAAAGACGGACUUAGUGAUCCGGUGGUUCCGCAUGGAAGGGCCAUCGCUCAACGGAUAAAAGCUACCCCGGGGAUAACAGGCUUAUCUCCCCCAAGAGUUCACAUCGACGGGGAGGUUUGGCACCUCGAUGUCGGCUCAUCGCAUCCUGGGGCUGUAGUCGGUCCCAAGGGUUGGGCUGUUCGCCCAUUAAAGCGGUACGCGAGCUGGGUUCAGAACGUCGUGAGACAGUUCGGUCCCUAUCCGUCGUGGGCGUAGGAAAUUUGAGAGGAGCUGUCCUUAGUACGAGAGGACCGGGAUGGACAUACCUCUGGUGUACCAGUUGUCGUGCCAACGGCAUAGCUGGGUAGCUAUGUGUGGACGGGAUAAGUGCUGAAAGCAUCUAAGCAUGAAGCCCCCCUCAAGAUGAGAUUUCCCAACUUCGGUUAUAAGAUCCCUCAA
rnacentral:rRNA from 1 species